AUUGAACGCUGGCGGCAUGCUUUACACAUGCAAGUCGAACGGUAACAGGUUAAGCUGACGAGUGGCGAACGGGUGAGUAAUGCAUCGGAACGUGCCCGAUCGUGGGGGAUAACGCAGCGAAAGCUGCGCUAAUACCGCAUACGAUCUGAGGAUGAAAGCGGGGGACCGUAAGGCCUCGCGCGAUCGGAGCGGCCGAUGUCAGAUUAGGUAGUUGGUGGGGUAAAGGCCCACCAAGCCGACGAUCUGUAGCUGGUCUGAGAGGACGACCAGCCACACUGGGACUGAGACACGGCCCAGACUCCUACGGGAGGCAGCAGUGGGGAAUUUUGGACAAUGGGCGAAAGCCUGAUCCAGCAAUGCCGCGUGCAGGAAGAAGGCCUUCGGGUUGUAAACUGCUUUUGUACGGAGCGAAAAGGUCCUUUCUAAUACAAGGGGCUUAUGACGGUACCGUAAGAAUAAGCACCGGCUAACUACGUGCCAGCCGCCGCCGUAA
rnacentral:rRNA from 1 species